GGCAAAGAAUGCAGCUUACAAACAAAGUAUCGCUAGAUACCACGACAAGAAUGUCAAGAGUAAAGCGAUAAGAAAAGGAAGUCUAGUAUGGAGAAGAGCGAGUGUCGGUAGAAAAGACUGCUCUAAAGGUAAACUAGGCGCAAAUUGGGAAGGACCAUAUGUGGUGGAGGAAGAACUCCGACCAGGCACGUACAAGUUAAAGCGGGAAGAUGGAACAGGCAUUCCUAAUACUUGGCACGCAGAUAACCUACAGUUGUACUUUUGAACAAUUGAGUAGGAUUAUAAUUACUCUCGUAAUAGUUUAAAUAAUAGUUUGGACUAUGUAACUAAUACGUUAUUUAGUUAACUAUCAGAAUACUUGAAAAUACAUUCUAUAUAUUGAUUACAGAAAAAUGAAAAUUACAACAGUUAGUAAUCAAAACAUUCAGAAAACAUUCC
rnacentral:lncRNA from 1 species